rnacentral:rRNA from 1 species
AUGAAGACUUCCAAGAAGCAGAAGGAGGCGCCGCCGACCCCCGAGCUGCCGGACUUCACUGGCGAGUUUCGCUCGGUUCACUGCUUCUGCCACUGUGACAGCCUGGUGCUCGCCGCCACGGACACCAAGGUGUACCUAUUCAACCCCACAAUCAAGGACGUCGUCACGCUGCCGGACAGCAGCCGCAACAAGGUGCCCGGCUACACCGAAAGGCCCAUUGGGUUCGGCCGUGAUCCUCGCACUGGCAUGUACAAGGUUGUCCGGUCCUUAUUCGGUUCGACAGACUGUAAAACUGGGAUCGUCAGCAUGGGGAUGGAGGUGUGUACCGUGGGCAGCCCUGCUCCUCCUCAAUGGAGGGAAAUCGCGGGGGAUCAGCCAUAUGCCCCUGUGUCAUCGGUGCCCGCGCAAUCUGUCAAGGGGUGUGUGUACUGGAUAGUCGACGAUACCAACUUCGAGCCGCGCUCGCGUGGCCUCCUACGCUUCGACUUGGUCGACGAGGCAUUCAACUUCAUCAGUUUGCCUUCUGAUCUGUCGGACCUCGGAGAUGACGACAAUGACAAUGAACACUUCAACUUGAGUGUGUUGCACGGGGAGUUGUCUCUAACCGGCUAUCGCGUCAAUGAGCCUAACGACGUGCAUCGGCUGGUGGUGGUCUGGGCGCUCAUGGAAGACGGGGCAAGCUCCGUGUGGGAACCGCGUCAUACGUUGUAUGUCAUGGAACCGUGCCACCCAAUCGCUUUUCUUCCGGGCACGUUGAUGCUACGGUUCAAUCGCAAGCUCUGCCUCUACGAUCUGCAGUCACGUGAGCUGGCAAAUGCUUGUGAGCUGAUCAAGAUGAGAUACCGGCGUCAUGGGUCAGCCGAACUUGAGCCUGCUUGGAAGCAUGUGUACUUCUGCAACGUCAUACCCUACAUGGAAAGUCUUGUUCCAGUCGGUGCUCACAUGGCCUGA